GCAGUCGUGGCCGAGUGGUUAAGGCGAUGGACUAGAAAUCCAUCGGGGUCUCCCCCGCACAGGUUCCAAUCCUGUCGACUGCG
rfam:Ixodes scapularis strain Wikel colony gcontig_1108378240360, whole genome shotgun sequence.